GACGAAGCAGAUUCUUCUCCCAGUUCAAUAAAUGAAAAUCAACGGCAGCUGGAGCAUCUGGAGGCGGUUUCCGGGCACAUUUCUGGUCUAAAAAAGAAGAUGAAAUAAAUGGCUUCCAACUUAUCAACCCACAGCCCACACAUCAGGAAUAUGGGCGAUUGUUGUUCCAUGUGCUAUUCAGCCAAUAACUCUUCACUACUUUCAUGUAUAUAAUGUGUUUAAAAUUAUUUUGCACUCUUCUUCUAACUGAUCUGACCUACUGACAGUGAGAUGGCUCUGAUAAUUUGUCGUCUCGCUGCAGAACUUGGCUUCUGCUGUAAAAGGCAGCUACAGUUGGGGACACACGACCUGAGUUUCACAGUUGUCACACAUUUUGAAAACACCUGCUGCUCUCCGUAACAGACAGGUAUUUGUUUCACGACUGGGGAUCACACACUUCACAGUUGUGCCUGCUGAGAGA